GCGGCAUGCUUUACACAUGCAAGUCGAACGGCAGCGCGGGGCAACCUGGCGGCGAGUGGCGAACGGGUGAGUAAUACAUCGGAACGUACCCAGAAGUGGGGGAUAACGUAGCGAAAGUUACGCUAAUACCGCAUACGUUCUACGGAAGAAAGUGGGGGAUCUUCGGACCUCAUGCUUUUGGAGCGGCCGANNNNNGAUUAGCUAGUUGGUGAGGUAAAGGCUCACCAAGGCGACGAUCAGUAGCUGGUCUGAGAGGACGACCAGCCACACUGGGACUGAGACACGGCCCAGACUCCUACGGGAGGCAGCAGUGGGGAAUUUUGGACAAUGGGCGCAAGCCUGAUCCAGCAAUGCCGCNNGAGUGAAGAAGGCCUUCGGGUUGUAAAGCUCUUUUGUCAGGGAAGAAACGGCUGGGGCUAAUAUCCUCGGCUAAUGACGGUACCUGAAGAAUAAGCACCGGCUAACUACGUGCCAGCAGCCGCGGUAAUACGUAGGGUGCAAGCGUUAAUCGGAAUUACUGGGCGUAAAGCGUGCGCAGGCGGUUUUGUAAGUCUGACGUGAAACCCCCGGGCUCAACCUGGGAAUUGCGUUGGAGACUGCAAGGCUGGAGUCUGGCAGAGGGGGGUAGAAUUCCACGUGUAGCAGUGAAAUGCGUAGAGAUGUGGAGGAACACCGAUGGCGUACGCAGCCCCCUGGGUCAAGACUGACGCUCAUGC
rnacentral:rRNA from 1 species